rnacentral:tRNA from 1 species
GGGGUUGUGGCUCAGUGGUAGAGUGCUUGCCUAGCAUGUAUGAUGCACUGGGUUCGAUUCUCAACACCA